ACCGGGCUGUUGAAAGCUGUCAUGGAGUCUGUGCCAGCAGCCAUUGAUCCCUGGAGGCACAGGGGGUGGGGCACCUGAUCUUCCCUUCUGCCAUUCCCAUCCAUCAGGCUGUAUGUGUAACAUUCAGCCUUGCCUGGAGUGAUAGAAAGCAGCUGCCUCUGCAGUUCUGGGAGAUCUGCUGUGCCCACUUCCUUCUCCAGGCUCCCCCUGCACCCUGCAUCUGUGGUCAUAAUAUGGCGAUGCACUGCGCAUUCCCAAGACCUCUGCAGCAGCUGCUGCUGCCCAAAUACAUGGAGGCCAGCAGCACACUAGGCUCUUGCCUGCUGUCUGACCAAGACCUUUCUGGGUGACAGUCUAAGUGUGAUGCGAUUGCCUUCGUUUCAGUUUUGGGAGGUGAUAAGCGAUGAGCAUGGCAUCGACCCCACUGGCAGUUACCAUGGCGACAGUGACUUGCAGCUGGAGAGAAUCAAUGUGUACUACAAUGAAGCUGCUGGUAAGGGUUUGGAUGUCAGUCUUGCUUUCCACACUGUGGCAGAGGAAGCAGCAUGCAGACAAGGAAAUGCUUUUUUGCACACUCAUUUAAAAAAAAAACCACGUUGCUGUUCCUGAGGACCUCUGUAUGCUUUGUGUCUCCAUUUUCUUUUUCCUCCUUUGUCUCAAUGCUGGGAUUUCUGCAAUGACUUCUUCUGCUCCAUCCAUCUCCUUUCCCAAGCCCAGUUGUAAGUCAGCUCUUGUCCCCACAGGCAACAAAUAUGUACCUCGGGCCAUCC
rnacentral:lncRNA from 1 species